GUGUCCUCAGUGGCUUAGGGGUUAGAGCGCCUGCCUUGUAAGCAGGAGAUCCCAGGUUCGAAUCCUGGUUGGCCACA